CAAUAGCGUAUAUUUAGGUUGCUGCAGUUAAAAAGCUCGUAGUUGGAUUUCGGGUGGGAAUGGCCGGUUCGCCGUUUCGGUGUGCACUUGCUACGCCCACCUUGCUGCCGGGGACGUGCUCUUGAGUUCGCGCUCGGGACACGGAGUCGGCGAGGUUACUUUGAGUAAAUUAGAGUGUUCAAAGCAGGCCUACGCUCUGAAUACAUUAGCAUGGAAUAACACGAUAGGACUCUGGCCUGUCUUGUUGGUCUGUAGGACCGGAGUAAUGAUUAAGAGGGACAGUCGGGGGCAUUCGUAUUUCAUUGUCAGAGGUGAAAUUCUUGGAUUUAUGAAAGACGAACUACUGCGAAAGCAUUUGCCAAGGAUGUUUUCAUUAA
rnacentral:rRNA from 1 species